CUCAGAACGAACGCUGGGCGGCGUGCCUAACACAUGCAAGUCGAGCGAGAAAGGGGGGCAACCCCUGAGUAAAGCGCGCACGGGUGAGUAACACGUAGGUGACCUACCCUCGCAGCCCGGGAUAACCUACCGAAAGGUGGGCUAAUACCGGAUAUGACCACGGGAGUUUCGACUCCUGCGGUGAAAGAUGGCCUCUGCUUGCAAGCCAUCACUCGGGGAGGGCCUGCGCGCCAUUAGCUAGUUGGCGGGGUAAUGGCCCACCAAGGCGAUGAUGGCUAGCUGGUCUGAGAGGAUGACCAGCCACACUGGGACUGAAACACGGCCCAGACUCCUACGGGAGGCAGCAGUGGGGGAUAUUGCGCAAUGGGCGAAAGCCUGACGCAGCGACGCCGCGUGGGUGAUGAAGGCCUUCGGGUCGUAAAGCCCUGUCGAGGGGGAAGAACCAGCCACGGUCGAACAGGCCGUGGCCCUGACGGUACCCCUAAAGGAAGCACCGGCUAACUCCGUGCCAGCAGCCGCGGUAA
rnacentral:rRNA from 1 species